GGAAAAUGAAAUGGCCCAAUAGAAUUCCAUCCCUGGUGAGGAGCCACAGAAGAGACCCAAGACAGAUCGCCAGAGGGCCAGCUCCCUCCAACCCACUGCAACAGGCUCCUGCAUCGAUCCUCCAGCUAUUGGGUCUGAGCUGCCACUUUAUAACUCCUCCAGCUUACUUUAGCUCCAGCUCUAUUGUUGGAUGAAGAGGUGGUCGGAAGGCACAUGUACCCAGGGACUCUCUACCCUCUUAGCCUUGGUUGUGCUUGUAGGAGCACUCAUACUGCAUGGAAAACAGCAGCCUCUACCACCAGGAAUGACUUCAUACCAAUCUCAGCUGCUCAUCAUCUUGAUCACUUUAACCCCUCCAACUUAUUCUGUGGCUGCCUUUCGGAAAGAACACAAGUCCUGUAUCUGGGGUGCAGCAGGAGAAAGAUGCAGCACUAUUGGUCAGUGGAGUCCCGUCGUCCUCAGUGCUGAGUCAACAUCCAAGGGACUUCGCUAUGACCAGUGCCCACCAUUGGGGUCAGGCUUAAAAGGAAACCUUGAUCAUCAUGGAUCUCUUGAUGACAGCCACUAGUGCAGUGUGAAGCAUUGGUCAGUGUAGUGUCUGAACUGGUUUCCAGGAUACCUUCCAGGUAGGAAGCAACUCACUGAUUUGACAAGAGGAAAUGAACUCAACAGGGACUCCAGGGUUCUAAUCUGUGUGAAUCAUGGACCUGAAGGUAAGAUUGAGUACAGUAAGUAUCUGUUUGUGGUAGAAGAUGAGUCUCUGAAGCCUGGUCUUGAUGUAGUGAAAUGAUCCCAUGAAGUGCCCUGUGCCAGCAUCCCUGACACAGAGGGAAAGUUAUUAUUGACUUGCUCAACUGUAGAGCAGUGGGAGACUGAGAGACUGCAGAGGUGUGACAAGGGAGGAACCAUCUUCUAUGUUACAGUUGGCCUCCAGCUCCGUUCUGACCAUCUGACCCUGGCCUGUUAGCAAACACUGAGGCAAACUAAAUGCUCUUGCCAGAUUUCUUCCCAGUGAAUGACAGCCAGCUUGUGCUGUCACUUACUUCUAGAACCCUGACUGUCUGGUGAGUCCCAUAUACACAGAACAAGACCCAGUCAGCUUGAUCAGGGAGAGAGAAAAAAUUUCAGUUUGUGGGUAUCACCUGGUGUCAGGGUGGGUUUCUGCUGCAUAUCAGUGAAGGCAGGGAUUGAAACUUGGUUGAAGAGUCUGUUGAAUUCUGGAAAUGAGAUAGGGAAAUUUCCUGAAUCCUCAUUUGAUAGAUUUUUGAGAUUGGGUCUCACUCUAUAGCCCUGGCUAACCUGAGAAACUCGAUGUAGAACAUGCAGCUCUGAAACUCACAGGGAUUGACCCCCUUCUCUGCCUCCUGAGAGCAGCAUUUACAGACGUGGAAUGCCAUGCCUGACUUCAAGUACUGAAUGGCAUCAAUGGUAAAUUCCUUCAAACAUUUGAGGCAGAAGGAGACAAUUCUGUGCUUCUUUCAUCCUGACAGGGUCAGGGAUUGAACUGAAGGUUCUGUCAUCUAGGAUGGACUACAAACAGCAGCAAAGUCCAAAUCUAACCUUCAGGAUAGAAGUCUAUGUCCACCACUGAACAGAUACCUGGAGAGUCCAGGCAUAAAUCCCAUGACUUCAACCUGACCAAUCAGGAGAGUCCAGAUUGGCUACCUGGUCUGAUUGAUGAGUUCUUUCCAUUUGAGCCAUGAGAUCGCAGCUGAGGACUCAAGGGAUGAGCUCUCUACAUCAGGAGACACACGGUGGCAAUUUGAGGUGUGGCCUGAGACAGCAGAAGUCGGAGCCCUGCAGGAAGUCCAGAUGGCAGUGUGCCCACUUCCCCAGCAUGAAGGGUCUCUGUCCUGCACAGGAGGAGGAAAGUGACAGCAAGCUGGAGGAAAAUGGGUACCACUCCGGAUGGAAUGCUGGGACAUUGCUCCACUUCAGAAAUCUGCAGCUUCUUUUGGACAUGUUCAGACAAACCUCAUCUUCACCAGAUGUGCAUCCUGUCUCAUCUAGGCA